GCAAACUUGGUCAUUUAGAGGAAGUAAAAGUCGUAACAAGGUAACCGUAGGUGAACCUGCGGUUGGAUCAUUACAAAACUGUGAUUGUGGUUCUCUGCUUAGAGACCAUGAAUCCAAACACCGUGUGAAUUGUAUUUGUACUUGGCAAGUUAUGCAUGCUUAUUGCUGGAUUCGGCUAUGAGUUUAAGCAUGAUUUUAAGCAUGUGCAGAGUUUCAAUAUGGCGCAAGUUCGCCUUAUUGAAGGCUUGCCACUGAUUUUAACCAUUGUUGUUAAUUGCGUCUGACCAAUUGAAUACAACGAAAUUUUGUUAAACAACUUUUGGCAACGGAUCUCUUGGCUCUCGCAUCGAUGAAGAACGCAGC
rnacentral:misc_RNA from 1 species